AACAAGCACCUCUAAGUGGACUCCCUGUUGGGUCUGGUCAAGGGCAUGACACUCAUCUCUUACUUUUGCACACGGCUCUCUCUGGAUCUAGUUAGAAGACUGGGACUUAGAGGUGCAUUCCAGUUGAUCGUGGGCCGUCUUCUACAGAGCACUUGACAGGGGCCUGUGGCAGCAGAUCUGGAUGGACAGGCAAUGAGACCACCACAGCUCGUUUGCAUCUAAACCCCACAGUCCUGGUGAAGGGACACCAAGAAUUCCCCGGUACAGUCCCUGUGAGUCACCAUGAGGUCCAGCUGGAUUGUCUCACCUUUCUGAAGCCUGAAUCCAAAAGACACCCCCACCCCCAGCUUUUUCUGUCUCUUUUGGGGGCUGGCCAGACCCUUAACUCUUUCUUUAAAGCCCCCCACUCCUCCCCU